UGGGGAAUAUUGCACAAUGGGCGCAAGCCUGAUGCAGCCAUGCCGCGUGUAUGAAGAAGGCCUUCGGGUUGUAAAGUACUUUCAGUCGGGAGGAAGGUGUCAAGGUUAAUAACCUUGGCAAUUGACGUUACCGACAGAAGAAGCACCGGCUAACUCCGUGCCAGCAGCCGCGGUAAUACGGAGGGUGCAAGCGUUAAUCGGAAUUACUGGGCGUAAAGCGCACGCAGGCGGUUGAUUGAGUCAGAUGUGAAAUCCCCGGGCUUAACCCGGGAAUUGCAUCUGAUACUGGUCAGCUAGAGUCUUGUAGAGGGGGGUAGAAUUCCAGGUGUAGCGGUGAAAUGCGUAGAGAUCUGGAGGAAUACCGGUGGCGAAGGCGGCCCCCUGGACAAAGACUGACGCUCAGGUGCGAAAGCGUGGGGAGCAAACAGG
rnacentral:rRNA from 1 species